UGAGGAAUAUUGGUCAAUGGUCGGAAGACUGAACCAGCCAAAUCGCGUGAAGGAAGACAGUAUUAUGUAUCGUAAACUUCUUUUGCAGGGGAAUAAAAGACAUCACGUGUGGUGUAUUGCAAGUACCUUGCGAAUAAGCAUCGGCUAACUCCGUGCCAGCAGCCGCGGUAAUACGGAGGAUGCGAGCGUUAUCCGGAUUUAUUGGGUUUAAAGGGUGCGUAGGUGGUUUUUAAGUCAGCGGUGAAAUCUUAACGCUUAACGUCAACAUUGCCGUUGAAACUGGGGAACUUGAGAGCAGACGAGGCAGGCGGAAUUCGUAGUGUAGCGGUGAAAUGCAUAGAUAUUACGAAGAACUCCGAUAGCGCAGGCAGCUUGCCAGACUGCCACUGACACUGAAGCACGAAAGUGUGGGAAUCAAACAGGAUUAGAUACCCUGGUAGUCCACACUGUAAACGAUGAUUACUCGCUGUUUGCGAUAUACGGCAAGCGGCCAAGCGAAAGCAUUAAGUAAUCCAUCCU
rnacentral:rRNA from 1 species